UACGUAGGUGGCAAGCGUUGUCCGGAAUUAUUGGGCGUAAAGCGCGCGCAGGCGGCCUUUUAAGUCUGAUGUGAAAGCCCACGGCUCAACCGUGGAAGGUCAUUGGAAACUGAAAGGCUUGAGUACAGAAGAGGAAAGCGGAAUUCCACGUGUAGCGGUGAAAUGCGUAGAGAUGUGGAGGAACACCGGUGGCGAAGGCGGCCCCCUGGACCGGUACUGACGCUGAGGCGCGAAAGCGUGGGGAGCAAACAGG
rnacentral:rRNA from 1 species